rnacentral:misc_RNA from 1 species
GGCACUUAUUUUUUUGAAUUCUCUAGGCCUUUGAGAACCAUGGAUCGUUUCCAGCAGGAUGCUCAGUUUACCAUUAGUGGAUCAAGCAAGAUGUCUGUUGCAUUCUGGUAUCCUGUUGAUGGGAAUCCAUGGCAUGGAUCUGGUCACUAUUCUGUCAACUGUGAUUGGAUACCCUUAGAUAUCUCUCCUGGCAGUUCAACAUUAACAACGUCAUCACCAGGCAGUUCGGUGGCUGUUGCAAGUGCCUUCGCCCUUUUAUUUUCAGUAGUGUCUGUAUGCCUCUCUGUUUUUGUGGGAUAUAGAGUUAUUAGACCUAGUGGUUUUACACCCAUGGGAACAACCAUGGAAAAUCUUUAGGAUAGCAGCUUGGGUCGGAGAUUGUACUGCUAGUGGAGGGUUGUAUUACUUAGUUUUGUAUUUUGAUCACUACCACAUAAUUAAGAUUUUAUAUUGCAAUUUCAUUGUUUGUUUAUUAUCAAAAAAA